rnacentral:rRNA from 1 species
ACCAGCCAUGCCGCGUGCAGGAUGACGGUCCUAUGGAUUGUAAACUGCUUUUAUCCGGGAAGAAACCCCUGGACUUGUGCCGGGUUGACGGUACCGGAGGAAUAAGGACCGGCUAACUCCGUGCCAGCGAGCCGCGGUAAUA